GAGAGGGGGGGGGAGAAGAUUUCCAUUUGAUUGAAUUUUAUCGUAAAUCAUCAGUGGUACCGUUUUUUCUGUAUUGGUUAGUGGCUAUGACAUAUUUUCCUUGAUAGGUUGCCAUCAAAGUAUACAUCACUUCUAACUAUAUUUUGCAUAGAAGCUUAUGCACUAGUGUUUUAUAAGAUCUAAUGAAAUUAAGUAAUAGUUGGUGAUGUCUACAAGUUGCGAAAAAUGAAUGGCUUUUUGCUUUU
rnacentral:misc_RNA from 1 species